AGUUUUGGUCAGAAACUCAUCAAGAGCGUAUAUAGUGUGCAGCACAAUUUCUCUUUUUUAAGCGGCGAAGAUCUAGAAUCAAUCAAAUAUGCGCCAUUUAAAUGAAAUAAAGACAUCAUAAAUACUAUUUAUCCAAAAAUCCAACGGUUAAAUCCACAGUAACCAAAGUUAUACGAAUUUAAGUUUCAAAAACACACCGUAAUGACGAUGGCGACCAAUUAUUAAUAACUGUCAGCUGCACACACAUUCUAGACUUCGCCGCAUCCCAUAGUCCAAAUCCUUGGAAUGUUGUAGAGCAUCCUAAGGACACCUGUAACUAGACUUUGUUUCCAACAGCCUUCCAGACGCUUUAGAUGUUGUAGUGCUAAGAGGAUUUCGUCCUAAAUAGACCUGUCUUCGUGGGAAUACCAGUGUGGAAGAUAAGAUAAGCUUUUAGUUUAUUUUUUUUUUUGUUGUUAAAGUAAAGUCAAGUUGCUUCUCAUUCCUAACUAUAAUAUAAUAACCUGUAAACUUUUUGUGUGCACAUAAUUAGGUACAUUUUUGACUAGUUUUUGUAAUUAAUAGGGGGGGUGCUAGUUGUUUUUUUUUUAAUAAAAUAGGAUUUCAAAUAAAUAUUAAAUACAUAAUGGAUAAUAAUAAUUGAGAAUAAAUCAAGUUUUUAAAAUUUAAUAGAGAAGAGAAAUAGAGGUAUUCAAGGGUUAUCAACAAGAGUAAUUUUCAAAGUUAAAAGGGUUUUUACAAACAAAAUUUAAUUAAAAGAGUUUCUGACCGACUCAUAUCUAGCGUUUUCUGUAUAUCUCCAGUAUCUAUGUUGUAAGUAUACUACGAGCACAUAGAUCUGGAACGUUAGCUACUUGGACACUUGUCAGUCCCAGGACCAUUAUUUAUAUACGAACAUUUGGCUAUUCUCCCGGACUUGAUUAUUGAAUCUUACUAAUAUUUGUUUACUUGGCACAAUAGUGGUGAUUUUUGCUAUUUGUUAAUGGUCUUUUGGCCGUAUCUAUUUCUACACCACUAUUGUUUAUAUUACUGCAGGCUGUUACAUAUAUAAGUAAAAGCUAUUUUGAUAUUCUUUAGUAUAUUUAUUGUAAAUAUAUUUGUCAAUAGUA